rnacentral:misc_RNA from 1 species
GAAAUGCGAUAAGUAAUGUGAAUUGCAGAAUUCCGUGAAUCAUCGAAUCUUUGAACGCACAUUGCGCCCUCCGGUAUUCCGGGGGGCAUGCCUGUUCGAGCGUCAUUGCAACCCUCAAGCCCGGCUUGUGUGAUGGGCGGUCGUCCCCCUGGGGACGCGUCCGAAAAGCAGUGGCCAGGCCGAGACUCCGGCGCCUGAGCGAAUGGGACUUCCAACGCUUCUAGGACCGGCCGGCUACCUUGGCCUAAUAAACAAGUUCUUAGGAACUAUCUAGGUUGACCUCGGAUCAGGUAGGGAUACCCGCUGAACUUAA